CCUACGGGUGGCAGCAGUGGGGAAUAUUGCACAAUGGGGGAAACCCUGAUGCAGCGACGCCGCGUGAGUGAAGAAGUAUCUCGGUACGUAAAGCUCUAUCAGCAGGGAAGAAAAUGACGGUACCUGACUAAGAAGCCACGGCUAACUACGUGCCAGCAGCAGCGGUAAUACGUAGGGGGCAAGCGUUAUCCGGAUUUACUGGGUGUAAAGGGAGCGUAGACGGCAGUACAAGUCUGGAGUGAAAUCCCGGGGCUUAACCACGGAACUGCUGUGGAAACUGGGCGGCUGGAGUGCAGGAGGGGUAAGCGGAAUGCGUAGUGUAGCGGUGAAAUGCGUAGAUAUUAGGAGGAACACCGGUGGCGAAGGCGGCUUACUGGACUGUAACUGACGUUGAGGCUCGAAAGCGUGGGGAGCAAACAGGAUUAGAUACCCCGGUAGUC
rnacentral:rRNA from 1 species